AGUGAACGCUGGCGGCGUGCUUAACACAUGCAAGUCGAACGGACUUAAGGGGCUUGCUUCUUAAGUUAGUGGCGCACGGGUGAGUAAUGUAUAGCUAACCUGCCCUUUAGUGGGGGACAACAGUUGGAAACGACUGCUAAUACCCUAUACUCCUUCUUGUCUUAAGGCGAGUUGGGAAAGAUUUAUCGCUAAAGGAUGGGGCUUUAUUGUAUCAGCUAGUCGGUGAGGUAAUGGCUCACCAAGGCUAUGACGCAUACCUGGUCUGAGAGGAUGAUCAGGCACACUGGAACUGAGACACGGUCCAGACUCCUACGGGAGGCAGCAGUGGGGAAUAUUGCACAAUGGAGGAAACUCUGAUGCAGCAACGCCGCGUGGAGGAUGACGCAUUUCGGUGUGUAAACUCCUUUUAUAGGGGAAGAUAAUGACGGUACCCUAUGAAUAAGCACCGGCUAACUCCGUGCCAGCAGCCGCGGUAAUACGGAGGGUGCAAGCGUUACUCGGAAUCACUGGGCGUAAAGGAUGCGUAGGCUGGAAAUCAAGUCGAAAGUGAAAUCCAACGGCUCAACCGUUGAACUGCUUUCGAAACUGGUUACCUAGAAUAUGGGAGAGGUAGAUGGAAUUAGUGGUGUAGGGGUAAAAUCCGUAGAUAUCACUAGGAAUACCGAUUGCGAAGGCGAUCUACUGGAACAU
rnacentral:rRNA from 1 species